GGGUCGUUAACUCAGUCGGUAGAGUAUCUCCCUUUUAAGGAGAGAGUCAUUGGUUCGAGCCCAAUACGACCCACCA
rnacentral:tRNA from 1 species